rnacentral:ncRNA from 1 species
UCUGUGGAGAGUAUAGGAAAAUGUGAGUAGUAUUUUAGAUACGAAAGCAUACUUGAUGAAGCAGAAA